UUGACCUCGGAUCAGGUAGGAAUACCCGCUGAACUUAAGCAGAUCAAUAAGCGGAGG
rnacentral:rRNA from 1 species